UAAAACAAAAGUAUUUUGUUGGAAGUAAAUUAAAACUCUUUCAAAAGUUUUUCUCCGGCUGAGUUUAUCAAACCCUAAUACAUCCACCGCCAUGAGUUUCACUCUAGCAGUUACAGGGCAAAAUAUUGUCAGAUUCUGGUUAUGGGUUUUUGGUAUGACAAUCCGCAAGGUUAAACGAGUCGAAUGGUGGUCUUAGUUGCCGAUUUCAAUGGGAUUUUGUGCAGAUAUUUAGGAUUUCAUUCUCCGGUACAUCUCUUCAAAAGAACAGAUCCUUCAUGCAAUCGUUUGACAAGGUUUAGCAGCAGAAAAUAAAUGGAGAACAAAGAAGGACCAAGAAAGAAAAAGGAUGCAAGAAGAUCGUGAUUCUGUAUACUGCAAAAGACUUAAAAGCUGGGAAAACUAAUUGGAAAAAGAAAAGGAUGCAAGAAGAUCGUGAUUCUGUAUACUGCAAAAGACUCAAAAGCUGGGAAAACUAAUUGGAUGAUGCAUCAGUACCAUCUUGGUACUGAGAAGGCUGAAAAGGAAGGCGCAUUCGUUGUGUCAAAAGUAUAACCCCACUUCCUUCUCGUCUUCAUCUGUACCAAGAUGAUACUCAUGCAUCACCCAGUUAGUUUUCUCUGUAUAUAAAAGCAUUGAGAGCAUGUGUGCUUCCUGACCAUCGUUGAAGAGGAUGGGUGUUUCCAUUGGAUCAAGAUCAAAUAAGUUGGAUGAAAAGAUUUCUGCAAAGAAAGAAGAAGUGGACAGAAAGAAGAAGUGGAGAGAACCUUGGAAUUAUUUCAUCUACAUCUUGAUAAAGGAGGUUAAUUAUAUAUAGAACAAGAAACAACCGUCAUUCUUUAUAUUAGGUUUUUAAGAGAGAACAACAAUAAUAAUAUGUGUAGGUAAAAUGUCAUUAGCCUUUCUAAAUGCAUAACAACUCUAAUGUUGUAUUAAGGGUUCUACAGAUGCUCCAUUGCAAGACACUACUACUUUUAGUUUGUGAAAAGGCUUCCUAAGAAUUUAUGUUGUUGUAUAUUGAUGAGAGUGCCCACGUUAAAUUGAAACCUUUUUGAAAACAAUAUAAUGGAACCUGAGGAAUUCCCCCUUCUAAAAAUAAAUCUAUUACCAUCAUAAAUUGAUUAUGUAAGUGCAUUUGUAAGUUGAAACAUCAAUAUUCAGUUACAAGUAAGGAAUGACGUCUCGAAUGCAAUCAACUUGCACUUUCUGAAUAUUUCUUCAAGAACUCAUGGAGUAAUGCCAGUACAGUUCUUAGAUGGAAGUAAUGUGAGUACAGUUCUUAGAUGGAAGUAAUGUGAUUUGAAGAUAAUGAGGCCUGUUAGUGUUGGUCAUAUCCCUGCAUGCAUAUUUGAUAUGUAUUAGGUAAUAGACACAAUAAAGAUGUAUAUCAGAUGAUUGAAAAUUUUGUGGUAUGUCUAGAAAUGACUGAGGAGGGGCUAUAUACCCGAUUUGUAUGUAUGUUUACCCACUGUAUUCAUGAUUUUAAUACAUAGUCUCAACAACAUUCACUCUUUAGCUAUCAAUUCAUUUUCUCACAGCUCUAUUGAUAUUCAUGUCUCUCUUUUUACUAAAGCAUGUAUUGUAAUAAUGUGAUGCUGCCAAAAAGGUUGCCCACUUGAAAAUGCUCUUGGACCAUUUGGGAAAUGCCCCUUGUAUGGUGGCAUGGCAUGAGUGUUGUUAGAUUAUUCUACCUCCCAUGACCGCUCUCUGUCUCGUGACCACUCUCUACCUCGGGGCCGAUGGUGCGGUUGCAACUCCUCUGCUCCUCGCUCACAACUCCCAUGGGCACAGUUUUCUCACCACUAGUCCUGUAGUGGUAGUGACUUCAAUCAGUGUUGCUCAGCCUCUACGCCAUGUCGUGGAUCUGCUUCCGGGUGGGGUACAAGGGGUGUUGAUUUUCUUGCUGCUGGUGGUUCUAGUUGGUCGAAUACCAGCAGAGAUUUUAC